UACGUAGGGCGCAAGCGUUAUCCGGAAUUAUUGGGCGUAAAGAGCUCGUAGGCGGUCCGUCGCGUCGAAUGUGAAAACCCGGGGCUCAACCCCGGGCUUGCAUUCGAUACGGGCGGACUAGAGUUCGGUAGGGGAGACUGGAAUUCCUGGUGUAGCGGUGAAAUGCGCAGAUAUCAGGAGGAACACCGGUGGCGAAGGCGGGUCUCUGGGCCGAUACUGACGCUGAGGAGCGAAAGCGUGGGGAGCGAACAGG
rnacentral:rRNA from 1 species